rnacentral:rRNA from 1 species
UACGUAGGUGGCAAGCGUUAUCCGGAUUUAUUGGGUGUAAAGGGCGUGUAGGCGGGAAAGCAAGUCAGAUGUGAAAACUAUGGGCUCAACCCAUAGCCUGCAUUUGAAACUGUUUUUCUUGAGUGCUGGAGAGGCAAUCGGAAUUCCGUGUGUAGCGGUGAAAUGCGUAGAUAUACGGAGGAACACCAGUGGCGAAGGCGGAUUGCUGGACAGUAACUGACGCUGAGGCGCGAAAGCGUG